rnacentral:rRNA from 1 species
UACGGGGGAGCAAGCGUUGUUCGGAUUUACUGGGCGUAAAGGGCGCGUAGGCGGCGCAACAAGUCACUUGUGAAAUCUCCGGGCUUAACCCGGAGCGGCCAAGUGAUACUGUCGUGCUAGAGUGCGGAAGGGGCUACUGGAAUUCUCGGUGUAGCGGUGAAAUGCGUAGAUAUCGAGAGGAACACCUGCGGCGAAAGCGGCCACCUGGACUGCACCUGACGCUGAAACGCGAAAGCUAGGGGAGCGAACGGG